rnacentral:sRNA from 1 species
AUUCUGCCCAUGCGGGGAAGGAUGAGAAGCUUCGACAAAGGUUCGACUUGAGCGCCAGCGAGAGAGCGUUGCCGCAGGCAACGACCCGAAGGGCGAAGCGCGCAGCGCUGAGUAAUCCUUCCCCCACCACCA